CAUUAAAGAGUUUUAUAACUCCCAAACCCAUGUGAACUUACUUUAGUUGCUUCGGUGACGGACCUACCCUGGUCAGGGUUACCCUGUAAUACGGGUAUCCUGGCCGUAAAGGGGCGGGCGAGUUGCCGGUGGCCCAUAAACUCUUAUUAUACCUACAUCUCUGAAUUUAAAACAUAAUAAGUUAAAACUUUCAACAACGGAUCUCUUGGUUCUGGCAUCGAUGAAGAACGCAGCGAAAUGCGAUAAGUAAUGUGAAUUGCAGAAUUCAGUGAAUCAUCGAAUCUUUGAACGCACAUUGCGCCCAUUAGUACUCUAGUGGGCAUGCCUGUUCGAGCGUCAUUUCACCACCUAAGCCCUGUUGCUUAGUGUUGGGAGCCUACGGAGACGUAGCUCCUCAAAGUCAGUGGCAGAGUCUAUUCUUACUCUAGGCGUAGUAAUUCUAUCUCGUCUUGCAGUGGAACAGUCCCUCGCCGUAAAACACCCUAUUCUUUAGGGUAACUUUCCAGGUUGACCUCGGAUCAGGUAGGAAUACCCGCUGAACUUAAGCAUAUCAAUAAGCGGAGGAAAAGAAACCAACAGGGAUUGCCCUAGUAACGGCGAGUGAAGCGGCAACAGCUCAAAUUUGAAAUCUGGCUUUCGGGUCCGAGUUGUAAUUUGUAGAGGAUGAUUUUGGCGCAGUGCCUUCCGAGUUCCCUGGAACGGGACGCCUUAGAGGGUGAGAGCCCCGUACGGUUGGAUGCUAAGCCUCUGUAAAUCUCCUUCGACGAGUCGAGUAGUUUGGGAAUGCUGCUCUAAAUGGGAGGUAAAUUUCUUCUAAAGCUAAAUACCGGCCAGAGACCGAUAGCGCACAAGUAGAGUGAUCGAAAGAUGAAAAGCACUUUGAAAAGAGGGUUAAAUAGCACGUGAAAUUGUUGAAAGGGAAGCAUUCAUUACCAGACCUUUUCUGCUCGGAUCAUGCGGUGUUCUCACCGUUGCACUUCGUUCAGUUCAGGCCAGCAUCGGUUUUUGUAGGGGGAUAAAAGCCUUGGGA
rnacentral:rRNA from 1 species